rnacentral:tRNA from 1 species
GAGGGUAGAGCUCAGUGGUAGAGUGCGUGCUUAGCAUGCACGAGGUCCUGGGUUCUGUCCUCAGUACUUCCA